AGGGAAUCUUCCACAAUGGACGAAAGUCUGAUGGAGCAACGCCGCGUGAGUGAUGAAGGUUUUCGGAUCGUAAAACUCUGUUGUAAGGGAAGAACCAGUACGUCAGGCAAUGGACGUACCUUGACGGUACCUUAUUAGAAAGCCACGGCUAACUACGUGCCAGCAGCCGCGGUAAUACGUAGGUGGCAAGCGUUGUCCGGAAUUAUUGGGCGUAAAGCGCGCGCAGGUGGUUUCUUAAGUCUGAUGUGAAAACCCCGGGCUUAACUUGGGGACUGCAUUUGAAACUGGAUAUCUAGAGUGCAGGAGAGGAAAGCGGAAUUCCUAGUGUAGCGGUGAAAUGCGUAGAGAUUAGGAAGAACACCAGUGGCGAAGGCGGCUUUCUGGACUGUAACUGACGCUGAGGCACGAAAGCGUGGGUAGCAAACA
rnacentral:rRNA from 1 species